rnacentral:rRNA from 1 species
AUUGAACGCUGGCGGCAGGCCUAACACAUGCAAGUCGAACGAGUGGCGGACGGGUGAGUAAUGUCUGGGAAACUGCCCGAUGGAGGGGGAUAACUACUGGAAACGGUAGCUAAUAACGCAUACCAUCGGAUGUGCCCAGAUGGGAUUAGCUUGUAGGUGAGGUAACGGCUCACCUAGGCGACGAUCCCUAGCUGGUCUGAGAGGAUGACCAGCCCAACUGGAACGGAGACACGGUCCAGAAUCCCACGGGAGGCAGCAGUGGUGAAUAGUGCACAAUGGGCGCAAGCCGGAUGCAGCCAUGUCGCGGGUAUGAAGAAGGCCUUCGUGUUGUAAAGUACUUUCAGCGGGGAGGCGUUACCCGCAGAAGAAGCACCGGCUAACUCCGUGCCAGCAGCCGCGGUAAGAC